GGCGAACGCUGGCGGCGUGCUUAACACAUGCAAGUCGAGCGGUAAGGCCCUUUCGGGGGUACGACGAGCGGCGAACGGGUGAGUAACACGUGGGUGACCUGCCCUCAGCUCUGGGAUAAGCCUGGGAAACCGGGUCUAAUACUGGAUAUGACUCCAUGACGCAUGUUGGUGGGGUGGAAAGCCUUGUGCGGCUGAGGAUGGGCCCGNGGCCUAUCAGCUUGUUGGUGGGGUGAGGGCCUACCAAGGCGACGACGGGUAGCCGGCCUG
rnacentral:rRNA from 1 species